GAAAUGGCCAGACCUGCAAUUAUGUACCAAUUCAUGAUCGAUAGCCAAUGGUUUGGCUGGAUGGUCAGACACUUGGAAAAUUGGUGACUGAAAAAUUGGUGACAAGGAAGUCUGGGUAAGAGGGAAAGAAAGAUCGUGCCACUCAAAGCUCGAGGACCAGCCAGGCGUCUGGUGGCCGUAGCAGGCAGAGGAAAGGCCCUCAUGGACACGGAUGCUCUGGAGGGGACCCUCGAAGGAGCUGGAGUUGGAGUGAGGGCUCCAAACUGCCACUUCUCUACCUGUGGACUUCCAUGUGGACUUCCCUUCCCCUCUGAGCCAUGUACCAUUCAACCAUACCAUCCUACGGCUCCUUGUGGCUGUCAUCUACAGAGGCGAGCACGG